UGGCGCACGCCAGCUGAAGGGCGGCACUUGAAACUAUGUGAUGGUGAAAGAAGGAAAAGAGUGCAUUCAGUGCUGCGCAAUCGAUGUAACACAAUCGACACCAACUUCCUACUGCACACAUCUGUUGACCUUGUGCCGCGAAUCGGUUGUAAAGCGAGGCAUGGCACGUGACCUGCUGGUAGUGAUAGUGAACCAUUGGAAGGAUAUCGUUUUCACUAACAGAUCGCCGCCGGCAUCACAUUCACCAGCACUUUGGCUCGCCAGUGAGCGAACGAGGAUCUAGAAGGCCACACAGUUACACACCGCACAGAACGCACGCAGAAGACAGGGCGCCUGCUUUGUUGCCUCCAUUCACCAGACGCCCAAAACAGGCGUCACACGCCAUAAGAAGACACACGAUCAUCUGCUACGAGCAUCAGCUGCUGCUGCUGCCAAUUGGAUUAACACACGCUCGCUCCCUCCCGAGAGCUCGAACCAACCACCAGCCACCACGACACAGCACAACGCACGCUCUCCAACACACGCGCACGUGGUCGCGAAAAAUUUGCUGGAAUUGCGCGGCAAUCAGCAGUGCAUCAUCUCAAUGCGCCGCAGCAUCCUCGGCCUCGGCGUAAUGGGAUUCAAGCAUGUUGGAUGAAAUUGCGGCACGGCCGAACACGAACACACAAUCUUACCCUCACGGAACACGGCCACACGCUGGCGCUGGCGUCGUACAUUUGUUAUCGUCGUCGUCGUCGUCGUCGUCGUUGGCCCGUGGUUGCGGUUGUUGUUUCCGUUGUUCUCUCGGCGAUGGAUUGACGAUGUUGUGGCGAAUUGUGGUGCCGCGUAUGUGUGUAGAAUGCGGUUAUUAGUUCUAGUGAUAAAUUAUUCUAACCACUCGUAAACAUAACAUUCCACGAUUUGUUUUUUGCGUCGUCACCAACAAACGCACCCCGAAUGGGCCUCGAACUCGCUCACACGUUGAGCGAACCGAAUUAGCACACUCCAAUCCACGCGGAACCACAGACACGCGAGUUAAGCUAAUUGGUGGAGAUAUCACUGUACGAUGAAAAGGAUAGUAGCUAAUCCUUAUUUACUGUCGUCGACAGCACACAAACCCCUGCCACGACCACUCUACACACCGAACCGUUUCGAUAGACCGCUCAGGGAAGAUUGAGCAGCAAAAAAAAGUUACAAAUUUACGUGCGUGCUCUUGUGACUUGUCCCACGAAUGCGUCCGAAGGUGCGUCGGCAUUCAUCCCGAUUAAAAAGAAGAGAGAGAGCGAGGAGAGAGCCAAGAUAAUCGGAGAGAGAGAAAGAACACGCGACAGACCACGACGUUGACAACAUUAAAGGGUUGUUCAAAACAUCAGCACCCCCCGCGCCGGGGGGUGUCGUCCUCCCGAUUUAGUGGAACGCCGGGUAUAGCAAUCUGGGGAGCUUGAACGGAAGGCGUAACUUUUUUUGCACAUUUUUUUUAUUGUUCUAACAAUUUCUGAUCUUCAACAAUUAUGGGGAUUUUAUAAGCUGAUGUCCAAUUUAAUAGAUAACCAUGAUAGGUUUAUUUUAGAAAAGCAAAACGUAAAGGGGUGUGCGCGUUAUUUUGCCAACUACUGUGCUAACUUUGUGAACGAGAGAGAAACGAACUCGGAUCGCGAGAAAAAUGAACACUUGCUGCUCGUUUCCACAUGGCGCCUAACGUGUGUUGCGUUUUCGAAAAAAUAUGUUCAACAUUUUAAAGAAAAGGUUUAAUAAACAAUAACACAGAUGGCCAUUUCAUUCA